GGAACAUACCAGCUGAACACAUUCUGCAUUUAUGGUCUUCAGAGGCACGACUGGUCAUAACAGAUGCCCCUUAAUUUCUCGGUAUUUACAAGGAGGUCAUUCAAUUUAAAAGCAUUGGUGAUAAGGACUGCUAAAUAUUGGCAUGGAUUUGAUUUACAUGUGUUACAAUUACAAUAUUUUGUAAUGUGAUUUGAUCUUAUCUGCUUGAAUGUUGACAGAACAGAACUGCUUGAAUGUUAACAGUGAAUGUAUGCAUGAUUGUGCUUGGUUUUAAACAUUUAUGAUAAUUUUACUGUAUGUGUAUUCUUGAUUUAUGUGGAUUUUGAAAAUUCCAAAGAUGCCCCAGUGUGUGUGUGUGUGUGUGUGUGUGUGUGUGUGUGUGUGUGUGUGUGUGUGUGUGUGUGUGAGUGAGGAAUGAGUUUUAUAGCCCCAUAUGAAUGCCACACUAAAUGGUGGAGUCAGAGAUGAAGGACAUGCUCCCGUGCUAAUGCACACGUGAGAGGGACACAGAUGCAUAACAGAAAUAAUUCAACAGCUCUAUUUUGCUCACUCUUCUUCUUUUUCAUCUAGGCCAAGGGCACAAAGAGAACUAUGUCUGAAGGGUAAUGUGACAACCUGUUGCUGAUUAUAUAAUUGUAAUAAUGAGUAUUAGUCAAAGAAAUGUUGCUUGAAUUGAUCAAUAUUUGUUCUCUUUUUUGUUUCCCCCCUCUAAAUAACAACACAGACCGGUAAGUUGAACCAUGCAAUCUUCUACUUCAUAGUUGUUUCACAUUAUAUUGCAAUGCAAUUUUAAAAAUCGCUUUGAACCCCUUUAACCCCUAUUGUACAUUUAAUUACUUUCAUACUAUACAUUUGUAUUAGUUAUCUCUUUAAUGACUACAUUUACAUGCACAUCAAAUUCCAUUUAAAGUGCACAUAUUAUGGUUUUUCAAAUAUUACCCUUCAUGUAGUGUGUUAAAGAGCUGUUUGUGAAUGUAAAAACAUCUGCAAAGUUUCAGAAAUCUAAGCACACAACAAACAGAGUUAUUGACUCCCAAAGGAAGGAACAGAUUCUGAACAGCUGAAAUGCGUCAUUAGUAAUUCCAGACUUACUUCCUGUACUAAACUACAUAGGUUUGUAACAAAAAGCCCCGCAUCUGGUCUUCAUCGGCUUCUCGCGAACAGACUGAGCUGAAACUCGUUAUGGUAGUGGGCGUUUCCUUUUCAACACACGCUGACAGCGGUAGACCAAUCACAACAGAUUGGGACAUCUGACCAGUCAGAGCAGAGUAUGCUCCCUGAAAGAAGGAGUUUAGAAUGAAUCCUUUAGAAUGGAUCAUUGAACGAGUCAUUUGUGACACUGGGGGAAAAAGGUAAUGCUGCAGUUCAAAUUAUGAGCACAUUAAAGUGCUUUUUGACCUUGGAUGCACGUGAAUCUAUUGUAUGAGAUCUUUAAAACAAAAUUAAGCACAUUUCAAAACCAUAAUAGGUGCACUUUAAGGUCUAUAUUCGGGUUGCAGCCAUAUUUUGAAUACGAUGUUUAUAUAAGUACAAGCAUCAAAAUAUUCACAUUACAUGGUUGUUGUAGGUAUACCUGGUAUACCUGAGUUGCCAUUCCUAAAUACCUAGCCUACAGCUAAGCAUCCAUUAGCACCCACAAUUCCUUGCGGACUGAGCAUGCGCUUUUAUAUCUUCUUUCAGUGGAUUUUCUGAAUAAGUACAUGCAACAAAUUUCCGAUUAUUU
ensembl:lncRNA